rnacentral:rRNA from 1 species
UACAGAGGGUGCAAGCGUUAAUCGGAAUUACUGGGCGUAAAGCGUGCGUAGACGGUUACAUAAGUCGGGUGUGAAAGCCCCGGGCUCAACCUGGGAAUUGCAUUCGAGACUGCGUAGCUAGGGUGCGGAAGAGGGAAGCGGAAUUUCCGGUGUAGCGGUGAAAUGCGUAGAUAUCGGAAGGAACACCAGUGGCGAAGGCGGUUGCCUGGGGCUUUGCUGACGCUGAUGCGCGAAAGCGUGGGGAGCGAUCCGG